ACUUGCACGAAGCGGUACUGGAUCACUACUUAGUGGCGGAAGGGUGAGUAACACGUGGGUAAUCUGCCUCAGAGACUUGGAUAACUACUAGAAAUGGUAGCUAAUACCGGAUGAGAGAUAGAAAGAUACGUUUUUUCUAUAGUAAAAGAAGCCUUUUAAAGCUUCACUUUGAGAUGAGCCUGCGGCGUAUUAGCUAGUUGGUGGGGUAAAGGCCUACCAAGGCGACGAUGCGUAGCCGACCUGAGAGGGUGAUCGGCCACACUGGGACUGAGACACGGCCCAGACUCCUACGGGAGACAGCAGUUAGGAAUAUUCGUCAAUGGGGGGAACCCUGAACGAGCAAUGCCGCGUGAACGAAGAAGGUCCUCUGGACUUGUAAAGUUCUGUUGUUAGGGACGAACGACCAGUAUAGGAAAUGAUACUUGGAGUGACGGUACCUUUCAAGAAAGCUCCGGCUAACUACGUGCC
rnacentral:rRNA from 1 species